CGUACACUCCUACGGGAGGCAGCAGUGGGGAAUAUUGCACAAUGGGCGCAAGCCUGAUGCAGCCAUGCCGCGUGUAUGAAGAAGGCCUUCGGGUUGUAAAGUACUUUCAGCGGGGAGGAAGGCAAUACGGUUAAUAACCGUGUUGAUUGACGUUACCCGCAGAAGAAGCACCGGCUAACUCCGUGCCAGCAGCCGCGGUAAUACGGAGGGUGCAAGCGUUAAUCGGAAUUACUGGGCGUAAAGCGCACGCAGGCGGUCUGUCAAGUCGGAUGUGAAAUCCCCGGGCUCAACCUGGGAACUGCAUUCGAAACUGGCAGGCUUGAGUCUUGUAGAGGGGGGUAGAAUUCCAGGUGUAGCGGUGAAAUGCGUAGAGAUCUGGAGGAAUACCGGUGGCGAAGGCGGCCCCCUGGACAAAGACUGACGCUCAGGUGCGAAAGCGUGGGGAGCAAACAGGAUUAGAAACCCCAGUAGUCCCA
rnacentral:rRNA from 1 species